GAUGAACGCUGGCGGCGUGCUUAACACAUGCGAGUCGAACGAAGCACUUUAUUUGAUUUCCUUCGGGACUGAUUAUUUUGUGACUGAGUGGCGGACGGGUGAGUAACGCGUGGGUAACCUGCCUUGUACAGGGGGAUAACAGUUGGAAACGGCUGCUAAUACCGCAUAAGCGCACGGCAUCGCAUGAUGCAGUGUGAAAAACUCCGGUGGUAUAAGAUGGACCCGCGUUGGAUUAGCUAGUUGGUGAGGUAACGGCCCACCAAGGCGACGAUCCAUAGCCGACAUGAGAGGGUGACCGGCCACAUUGGGACUGAGACACGGCCCAAACUCCUACGGGAGGCAGCAGUGGGGAAUAUUGCACAAUGGGCGAAAGCCUGAUGCAGCGACGCCGCGUGAGCGAAGAAGUAUUUCGGUAUGUAAAGCUCUAUCAGCAGGGAAGAUAAUGACGGUACCUGACUAAGAAGCACCGGCUAAAUACGUG
rnacentral:rRNA from 1 species